CAAGGUCUCAGUGCCUGCCCUGCUGCUUCUGCUGUAGCCAGUGUUUUUUCUGUCCCUUUUAGAAUUGAGCUGGUGUGUUCCUGACUACUCUGUUCAACACCUCUGGCUCCCUUAUUCCCCUCGGAUUUGAUGCUGCUCUCGCAUCAUGUGGGGUUCCUGCCUUGGAAUCUGGAGAGCCUGAGGUCAUCCGAGUAGUUUUUUUUGACCAAACACUAAGCUACAGGACAUUGAUCUCAGCUAAAAACUCCAAACCAUCCUGCUCACGUGAUAGUCAGCAUCUCCUGAUUCCAAAACCCUCUAUGAUCUUUCUAAUCUUUGAUGCCUGUGAAGAUGGGAGAUGAAAGCAUGUCCCACAAUGUUGAAGGUAUGGGUGAGAAAUCCAUGUGGUUGUUUAAAAUUCAGCAUGUGCCUUGAAAGGAGAACUCAGCUGGGCAACAUCAAUGUGGUUGUAGUAACAUCGUUUCUCUAGCCUCAAUAAUGGGAAGACAAAAACCUCAGUCCAUGUGUUUCAGUAACCAAUUGUUAGUUAACAAAUACUCAGUCUUAUUUAAUCCUUGAGUCCUAAUAGAGGAGUGGCAACACAAUUGUUUAAAAAAUAGUCUUUCAUUAAAAAUAUUUUCUAAGGUUUAUUAGUUAAGAAACAAAUGUAUAUAAUGGGUCAUAAAUAAUAUAUCUGGGCAGGCAACAUAAAAAAUAAAAGCGAUGCAUAAGUGAAAUACCACCUGUGGUUAUAUUGUGUAACCCAAUGGAGAAGAUAACUGUAAAUGAGAACAAGACACUUAGGUCUUAUAACUGUAAAUAUAUAGAUUCAUAGACAGCUUUAACCACAAAAAAGUGACUGAACUUGUCAUACUGCUGACUUCAUGCCAGAUACCUCAGGGCCGAAUAUGACAUCCACUCUGAUGUGUUGUUUAGGGAGAGCACUCAAAGGUAGAAACAUACCUUUGUCCUGAAAACUCCUAUCUUGAGCUCUAUCACAGCAUCUCUGUCUAACCCACCAUUUUUGUCAUCCCAUGUUUUUUAUUGAUCCUUCAUCCUUUGUCUUCCUCCCUUCAAUGCCUCAGUCUUGAACCUACAGAGAUGGUGGUGUUGCUGCCUUUGAAGUUGAAGCAAGUCCUCCCAGCUGUUGGUACUGGCAUUUAUGCACAAGGCGCUCAUGGGUUUCAUGCCAGUCCUGCGUUGCCAGCACUUCCUCUGCCUAUUAGGACACUUGAAGUUUGGAUCCCUGAAGCCACAACCUUUGUUCAUUUGGCUCAGU